rnacentral:rRNA from 1 species
GACGAACGCUGGCGGCGUGCUUAACACAUGCAAGUCGAACGGAAAGGCCCUGCUUGCCGGGUACUCGAGUGGCGAACGGGUGAGUAACACGUGGGUGAUCUGCCCUGCACUUCGGGAUAAGCCUUGGAAACUGGGUCUAAUACCGGAUAGGAGCCAUUUUUAGUGUGAUGGUUGGAAAGUUUUUUCGGUGUAGGAUGAGCUCGCGGCCUAUCAGCUUGUUGGUGGGGUAAUGGCCUACCAAGGCGGCGACGGGUAGCCGGCCUGAGAGGGUGGACGGCCACAUUGGGACUGAGAUACGGCCCAGACUCCUACGGGAGGCAGCAGUGGGGAAUAUUGCACAAUGGGCGCAAGCCUGAUGCAGCGACGCCGCGUGGGGGAGGACGGCCUUCGGGUUGUAAACUCCUUUCGCUAGGGACGAAGCUUUUUGUGACGGUACCUAGAGAAGAAGCACCGGCUAACUACGUG